GGCGGCCCCAGCUUCGUCACCCCGCCUGGCCCGGGAAGCCCCAGGGAGGCAGCAACCGGCCUCGGGCUCCUUGAGGAGGCAGGCCUCGCCCCGAGCAAGACUGAGUCAAGCCAGCUGAGUCAUCCAACACCCCCUAUCAUGGACCUAAAUCCUCAACACCAGAAGACUGCAAUCAAGAGGGCAGAGAUACGUGGAGCCAGGGUGACAGUCAUCCCGGGACACUGCACAGGAGUUCUGGGGCAGUCAGAAUGUGGCUGGAAAUUCCCAGGCAUGAGUCAAUUCAACUUGGCAGGGGGUGGGGCUGCCGCCACUUCCACCCAGUGGCCCCAGCACUCCCAGCAGCACCAGUUGCCCUCCAUCAUUGCCACCUGCCCCUGAACAGAAACGACGGUGGUGGCCCCAUCCCAGCUGAACCAGGCGGCCUUCAUUAACGUUUGCCAGCGUGUCCGGGACAAACACUGUCAAUGGCUGGCAUUCUCGCUCUACAGCAAUAUGGCUUGGGGAGUUUAGGAACCAGGAG